rnacentral:misc_RNA from 1 species
GGCCAAAAACGAGGGAGAGAGAGAGAGCGCAGCUGUGUGCCACUGAACUACUUCUCUAGUAAGGCGACCAAAAGCAACUUCUCUUAGAAGGGCACCCCAAAAAACCAGUAUAAAUAUCAUGCCCGUUUAAUGGUUCAGUGCAUCACGCAGUGGCGCAUUACUCAGUCUCUCUCGACUCUAGCUUGAUCAAACACAAAAAGAAAAGGUGAGUCCAGUUCUUCUUCUUUGAUUGAUAUUUGUUUUUGCCAUACAUUGAUUGGAUUGUUUAUGUAUUCGAUACCAUGUUCAAAAUUGGUGGUUGGGAUUGUAUGUUUGGCGAUUGAGAAAUGCAAUUCAGCAUUGUUUUCUGUUUUUUUGAUCAAUGCGUUUACACUAUAGUCCAUGCUCGUGGAUUUUUUUUUUCUUUUUCUGUAUUGUGAAUUUGUGUCAAGUUUUCUCAUUAUUUGAGAUUUGGGGAUGUUGAAUUCUUGUGCUUAGUUAGUGGGGUUAUUUUAUUGUUUUGUUUAUCUGUUGGGUAUUGUUUAUCAUAAAUGAUUAAUGAGUAUGGCAUGCUUUCUCCACAAAUCCUUUUGAAAUGUUCAUCGUAGUAUCAAUAAAGGUGAUGUAGUUGGAGAGUUAGGGCAAUUAGAUCUCAACAAUUGAGGUUAGAAUAGGGUGAUUGGGGUUGGAACAAGAGAAAGUAGUUAGGUUUAAAGAAAACGCGUGAAUUAAAAUUCUGGAUUGAAAAGUAUAAUAGAAUACAGAGAAAUUAACUACUGCUGUACUAUUUAUACUAUUUAGGACAUAUCCUAAUAUGAGAUGGAAAAGUAUUCCUAAUGAAGUAAAAUACUUUGCUAAAUGGGAAUUCUAAAUUAAGAAGGAAAACUAAAUAGGAAUCCUGCAUAAAGAAGGAACGCUUAAAAAAAAAAAUUGAAAUCCUAAUUUAAUUCGGAUGCUCACAUCAUUCUCCCCAUGUCAGAUAAGUCGGCUCUGAUGAGUAAACCUUGACAUAUUCCUUGUUUAUGGUUAACUCGUUUAAGCUCUUCUUCAGAAAUCCAUGUGCAUUCAUUUGCUGGUUUACCAAGCCACUUUGUUAAGAAUCGUCUAUAUGGGUUCCCUCGUCAAGAAGAUCUGACACUUCCUCAAUAACUUCAGCCUUUGCAGUUGGUAGCUGCUGAAUUUGAGUCUUAAUAAAAGAUGCAACACCAUCAAAUCCAUAAAAAAGAUACAAGUAUGAAACAUUAAUGAUCGGACUAAUUUGCAACUUAGGCGGAAGCUCAAUUAAACAUGCAGUUGAACUGAUGUUCUUCACCGCCAUACAAGGUCAAAACUUCUUGGUAAAUUCCUUACGGAAAUCAUUCUCGUCUCAAAUGUACAUGUAUUUAAUCACCUUCUUCAAAUUCUUGUGUAUGAUGAUGCUGAUUGGCAGUAAAAGAAUAUGCUGCAUUGUUGGCUUUUAGGGCAGCUUUUACCUCUUCAUGAAUCUUCCAAAUGUGAUCAGCAAAUUUUUCCCCUUCAUCACUUAUUAUAGACUCUUGUGGCAAGGGUACCAAAUCAAGCACAUGUUGAGGUUUCAAGUUUCAACCCGUAAGCAGCUUCAAAAGGUAUCUUCUUUGUGCUUUGAUUGACAGAAUUGUGUUAUAAGCAAAUUCAGUUUGGGGUAUGACUAAAUCCCAUGUCUUUGUGUUGUUCCCCACAAGACAUGUUAAAAGAUUUCCUAGACUACGAUUAACAACUUCUGUUUGGCCAUCAGUUUGUGGAUGGUAGGUACUAGAAUAUUUCAAUUUUGUCCCAAAAUUUCUUCAUAAAGUCCUCCAAAAGUGCCUCAUAAACUACAUCCUUGCAGCUAUUUAAUAGUUGAGAUAUGCUUGCAAGGAUGUCACCGAUAGAGAGUUGCAAACACUCAAUCUCUUGCUCAUUAAAGUAUUUGUUCCUCGAUUCUGAAAUUUCGGCUUUGAGGAUUGAGUUGCAGCUCCAUUCCACAGCGAAGGAUAGUAGGUAGAGUGAGAGAAUGAAUAAGGUGACGAAAACUUGAAACUGGUUUUGUUAGCUAAGAAUUUAAUCUUUGGAUCUUUAUUUUCUUUCUAUUUCACAUUUGCUUCAAUGUAACUUCUUUUUGCUUAUUGAACUGAAUUGGAGGCCAAUGUUUAAUGCAUGGUCCUGAAAACUGUAUGUAUACAUUUUCUUCAAUGCAUUUUAGGUAGAUUUAGAAAUUAUGGUCCAUUAUUCCUUUAUAUCAGCAUUUAUUUGUCUUACUGGUUUAUUAAUUGAUUCCUAUACAGAUAAUUAGGAAAACAGUAAUUAGUGAAGCCCUUUUUUUUUUUCUGAUAAUUUCUUUUACUUUGUUUUGGAUGUCAAGUGCUUCAAAGAAGAGGACAAGAAGUGUAGGUAUCAAAUGA